rnacentral:antisense_RNA from 1 species
GUAAUUAUCCAGUUGAUAUUUAUCUUGUUCCAGUCACCUUAAGAAAGCUGUUUGGUGAGUACAAUGUCAAUAUAGAGACAAUCAGAAUCGUGUGUGCUUUUGUACAAAACUUGUGGAUCCAUCAGUGAGGCAUCUGCCAUUUUUUCUUUUUUCCCCUCUAUAUUACAAGUUCUGGAAUGCCUGUUCUAAUUCCCCAAGGAGAAUUAGAAAAUGAAAGGCAGAGUCUACAGCCAUGUCAAUAUCCUCCCACAGAAUGUGUAUGGAGAAUAUUCCACUGGGAACCAUGACAGAUUAAAAACUUACCAGGAAGAGCAAAACAUCAAGAGAGUCUGACAAAAGCUCUGCCCUUCUCUGUAACCCAGCAGCCUCUGCAGAAUCAUCCUUUCUUCAUUGUUUUAAAAUGUUAUUAAAUAC